UACAGAGGGUGCGAGCGUUAAUCGGAAUUACUGGGCGUAAAGCGCACGUAGGCGGCUUGGUAUGUCGGGUGUGAAAUCCCCGGGCUCAACCUGGGAACUGCAUCCGAAACUGCCUUGCUCGAGUAUGGGAGAGGGAAGUGGAAUUUCCGGUGUAGCGGUGAAAUGCGUAGAUAUCAGGAGGAACACCGGUGGCGAAGGCGGUUCUCUGGGCAUGACCUGACGCUGAGGAGCGAAAGUGUGGGGAGCGAACAGA
rnacentral:rRNA from 1 species